UUAAAGGGGCAAUGUCACCGAUUUUUGACCUAAAAUACCGUUUAUUCAAAAACUGAACUACAAAGUUAAAAAUAAACAUUGUAAAUGGAUUAAGUUAUGAUAUAUGAGUCAUAUUAAACAACUUUGAACUUCCACGAAACAUGUAAUAUGACAUUUUCAUAAAAAAUGACUAAAACUUGAAAAGUGUCUGCCAACAAUUAAUCAAGAUGCCAUUUACAAUCCAUCUCAAUCCUGGCGUAAUCUUGCCCAUCCAGACUUCUGUACAUGUUUUUUGUGUCUGUUAUUGCUUUAUUUUGUGCUUACACUCAUUCUUUUUCAGUUUUGGGCAAAAUUUGCAAGGGUUGGAAUUGCCCAAAAAUCGGUGACAUUGCCCCUUUAAUGUGGAC